CUCUCCAAGGGAGAGAGGUUGGCUCUUGCUCGCCACGUCCUCGGGGCCAUGCCGCUGCACAUCAUGAUGGCCAUGGCUCUUACUCCACCCAUCCUAAAGUAGCUGAACCGAUUGGUCCGUUCCUUUCUCUGGCGCGGACGCAAGGAGGCCAACGGAGGCCACUUGCUCUUCAAUUGGUGCACGGUCUGUCGCCCUAUUUCGCUCGGAGGCCUUGGCAUCCCAGACUUCCAGCGUGCAGGGAUUGCACUCCGAACUCGUUGGCUAUGGCUCCAAGCGACAGAUCCUUCCCGGCAUUGGCACCACCUGCACAUGCCGAUCUGCCUUGAGACCCAGGCCAUCUUCCGUGCUGCCACGUCAUGGGCCCUCGGAGACGGCCGCUCCUGCCGCUUCUGGGUUGACCCUUGGCUCGACAUCAUGUCUAUUGCGGAGCUCGCCCUGCUAAUCUUCGCCAAGGUGUCGCGACGUCGGUGCAAGAUCCCUUCGUUUCGCGAUGCCCUUGCCGAUCGCUCUUGGGCGCGGGACAUCUCUGGGUCCUUGGGGCCGGCGGCUCUGUUUCAGUACGUCCACCUUUGGUAG
rnacentral:rRNA from 1 species